rnacentral:rRNA from 1 species
GACGAACUGUCCUAACGUUGUUCGGAAUCACUGGGCUUAAAGGGCGCGUAGGCGGUCCGACAAGUCAGGGGUGAAAUCUUGCAGCUCAACUGUAAAAGUGCCUUUGAUACUGUCGGUCUUGAGGGAAAUAGGGGUGUGCGGAACUUCCAGUGGAGCGGUGAAAUGCGUUGAUAUUGGAAGGAACGCCGGAGGCGAAAGCGGCGCACUGGAUUUCUUCUGACGCUGAGGCGCGAAAGCUAGGGGAGCAAACGGG